rnacentral:rRNA from 1 species
AAAAGGGUCUCGUUGGUGACCAGCGGAGGGUCAUUACCGAGUUUACAACUCCCAAACCCAAUGUGAACGUUACCAAACUGUUGCCUCGGCGGGAUCUCUGCCCCGGGUGCGUCGCAGCCCCGGACCAAGGCGCCCGCCGGAGGACCAACCAAAACUCUUAUUGUAUACCCCCUCGCGGGUUUUUUUUAUAAUCUGAGCCUUCUCGGCGCCUCUCGUAGGCGUUUCGAAAAUGAAUCAAAACUUUCAACAACGGAUCUCUUGGUUCUGGCAUCGAUGAAGAACGCAGCGAAAUGCGAUAAGUAAUGUGAAUUGCAGAAUUCAGUGAAUCAUCGAAUCUUUGAACGCACAUUGCGCCCGCCAGUAUUCUGGCGGGCAUGCCUGUCCGAGCGUCAUUUCAACCCUCGAACCCCUCCGGGGGGUCGGCGUUGGGGAUCGGCCCUGCCUUGGCGGUGGCCGUCUCCGAAAUACAGUGGCGGUCUCGCCGCAGCCUCUCCUGCGCAGUAGUUUGCACACUCGCAUCGGGAGCGCGGCGCGUCCACAGCCGUUAAACACCCAACUUCUGAAAUGUUGACCUCGGAUCAGGUAGGAAUACCCGCUGAACUUAAGCAUAUCAAUAAGCGGAGGA